rnacentral:rRNA from 1 species
AUGGUGAAGAAGGUGAAAGGUGGUAUUGAGAAGGGCAUUCCCAAAUACAAGUGCUAUCGCUUGGAUGACAAAGAUACUCUAUUCUUCGAGGAUCGAAUUGUGGUUCCUAAAGGCGAUCUAAGGAAAGUAAUUAUGAACGAGGCACACAAUUCCCUUCUAUCCACUCAUCCAGGAAGUACAAAGAUGUACCAUGACCUCAAGCAGUCGUAUUGGUGGACUCAAAUGAAGCGAGAAAUUGCUCGAUUCAUGAAUGAAUGUGACGUCUGCAGAAGGGUGAAAGCAGAACACCAACGACCAGCUGGUCUCCUCCAACCUCUUGCUAUUCCAGAAUGGAAGUUUGAUCAUACUGAAAUGGACUUUGUUACUGGAUUUCCAAAGUCCAAGCGUGGGAAUGAUGCUAUUUUCGUUGUCAUUGACAAGCUUACUAAAGUGGCUCAUUCCCUUCCUAUCAAAGAAUAUCUAUCAUAG